rnacentral:tRNA from 1 species
UUAAUUGAAGCCAAAUAAGAGGUAAAUUAUUGUUAAUAAUUGAAUUGAAUUUAAUAUUCCAAUUAAU